UACCAGCACCCCGAGUGGUCGGGACGAUUAUUGGGCCUAAAGCAUCCGUAGCCGGUCCUGCAAGUCUUCCGUUAAAUCCAGCUGCUCAACAGAUGGGCUGCGGGAGAUACUACAGGGCUAGGAGGCGGGAGAGGCAAGCGGUACUUUAUGGGUAGGGGUAAAAUCCGCUGAUCCAUAGAAGACCACCAGUGGCGAAGGCGGCUUGCCAGAACGCGCUCGACGGUGAGGGAUGAAAGCUGGGGGAGCAGACCGG
rnacentral:rRNA from 1 species